rnacentral:rRNA from 1 species
CCUACGGGAGGCAGCAGUGAGGAAUAUUGGACAAUGGGCGCAAGCCUGAUCCAGCCAUGCCGCGUGCAGGAUGACGGUCCUAUGGAUUGUAAACUGCUUUUGCACAGGAAGAAACAACGCUACGUGUAGCGUCUUGACGGUACUGUGAGAAUAAGGAUCGGCUAACUCCGUGCCAGCAGCCGCGGUAAUACGGAGGAUCCAAGCGUUAUCCGGAAUCAUUGGGUUUAAAGGGUCCGUAGGCGGUUUAGUAAGUCAGUGGUGAAAGCCCAUCGCUCAACGGUGGAACGGCCAUUGAUACUGCUAGACUUGAAUUAUUAGGAAGUAACUAGAAUAUGUAGUGUAGCGGUGAAAUGCUUAGAGAUUACAUGGAAUACCAAUUGCGAAGGCAGGUUACUACUAAUUGAUUGACGCUGAUGGACGAAAGCGUGGGUAGCGAACAGGAUUAGAUACCCUGGUAGUCCCACGACCGUAACGAUGAUACUAGCUGUUGGGUAGGCGAUCUCUAGUGGCGUAGACGAAAGUAGAGUAAGUA